rnacentral:rRNA from 1 species
UACGUAGGGACCGAGCGUUGUCCGGAUUCAUUGGGCGUAAAGAGCUCGUAGGCGGCCACUCAAGUCGAAUGUGAAACCUCGAGGCUUAACCUCGAGCCUGCAUUCGAUACUGGGCGGCUAGAGUCUGGUAGGGGGAUCUGGAAUUCCUGGUGUAGCGGUGGAAUGCGCAGAUAUCAGGAGGAACACCGGUGGCGAAGGCGGGAUCCUGGGCCAGUACUGACGCUGAGGAACGAAAGCCAGGGUAGCGAACGGG